AGUUUUGUGCAAGCUCACUGUUGUCCCAAGUUGCCACACAGUUCCCUCAUUCCAACUUCUCAACUCAGUAGGGAUCAAACCAAUGACUUUCCUGCUCUCCAUUUUUAACUGAUGCACAUUACCAGCCUCUUCCAGCUUUCCUGGGCAAUGUCUGGAUGCAGGAGUCCUGGCUGGGAAGCCCAAGGCAGGCAGCAGCUCAGUCUCAGGCUGGAGUCAGGGAGAGCUGUUCAGGACAUGCUGCUCUGGAUUCCUGACUGUCUGGGAGGCAAAAGCCUCAGGAGCAGCAGCUGAGGGGGGCAGCUCUGAGGAGAGGCUGCUGCAGCUAAGACAGAACAAAGAACAGGGAGCAGAAGAUUCCACUGCCUGGACUUCAGGGAUAUCAAAUUAUUGCUGCAUUUGCACAUGCAGCAUUGGAGUGCUGGUUUGAUAAAAAGGUGUGUGAUUAUGGUAAAUCCUCCCUGAAGCCCUUCUGUUGACAGGACUGGGGCUGCUUGAUAACAAAGGGAUUGUUUAUCUUGCUGGUGCACAGUUCAUGAGCCUGCUCUGCAGCAUCUCCCAGGACAGGAAUUCCAGGGCCUGAGGAGCAGGGCUCAUGCCACCCCACACAGCAUCUCCAGUUCCAGCCUCUCUGCUGUGCACAGGCCAGGAAGGCCAAUUUGCUCUUUGCUCUGCUACUUGUGCUGCAUCAGAUGGAACAAAUAGGGAACUUCAUGCUUGAGAGGCAUCAGAUAAAGACAGAAAGAGGUUCAAAUUCUGGGCACAGAAUUAACUUUUACCUUCCUGAAAGCUGAACUGUAGCAACUCCAGUCCAGCAACAGAAACUGAAUGAAUUCCAACAUGACAUCAACUAAAAUUCUGGGGAUGAAAUAAACCCAUUGCAAGAACCUUGUAACCAGCCCUUCUCAGAUAACUACUGAUCCUCAUAUUUGUCACUCCAAACCAACUUUCUUCCCUGUCACAAACAAUCAGUAAAAUUUUGAGAGCCAAGUGGCACAACAGCUCACUGCAGAUAUUAUUUCAAGUUCUGCUUCUAUUACAAGCAAGGAAAAUUCUUGGCACAUUGAGAAUAAUUUCUUUCAGUAGGCACAGAUUUGUCUCACAAAGGUCUAGAACUGGCAAGUCUUGACUUACAGACUGUGCAGGUCAGAACCAGACUUCAAAAGGAUCAAGAGGAAUGCACACUGUGAGCUCUGUUCAGAAGAUACUAAGUUUUAAAAAUAAAACUAACAGUUAAUCUAAUAAUCAUUCAAGCAUGGCCUGCUGGGUACAAGUACUGCAGGGCAACUUACUUUUGAUCAAGCCUUAAAAUAAUUACAGCAGGAUUUGUGUUUGCAACAUGAGUUUUAAUCUGUCCAAGGCACUGGAGGAGUAAGUGAACCAGAGCAGCCUUCCUUGUGCAAGCAGCACACAGAGCUGAUCCCAAGAAGGAUCAGAAAACUGAUUUAUGAUCAAUUCGUAUGAUCUGGGAUUCACACCUACUGGGAAACAUCACAAGGGCAGAACAGAUCUCAGAACUUGCUACAGAAUGUAAAGUGUAAAAGGGACAGAUUUCUGUGAGGUGUUAGUUCACAAUCAUGGGGAAAAUGAGGAUUAAAAAAACCUGGGAACUUUCAGAGCCAUAAAAUGGAAAAAACCUCACAGGAAAAGAAAACUAUAUAUGUACUGCAAGGUAGGAUCCAAAUCAAGAGGUGUACAUUUUAAUCUCUGCUAUGGUAUGACUGGAGUAUUCUAUAAUCAAUUAUUACUAAGAGCCAAAGAUGGGGGAAAUGUCUAACACCUCCUACAGCCUUCCCAGUUUGGGCAACUGCAGCUGAGCAAGCCCUGCCUUGCUGCUCACCACAGUGAUGCACAGGUAGUGGCAGUGAGGAAGGGGAGUGGGAUGAGCAGAGGGAGCUGCAGGUGAGGGGGAUGAGCACAGAGGAGAGCUGGAGGUGAGGGGAUGGGCAGGGGAGCUGGAGGUGAGGAGAUGAGCACAGGGAGCUGGAGGUGAGGGGGAUGAGCAGGGGAGCUGGAGGUGAGGAGAUGAGCAGGGGAGCUGGAGGUGAGGAGAUGAACAGGGGAGCUGGAGGUGAGGGGAUGAGCAGGGGAGCUGGAGGUGAGGAGGGGAGCUGGAGGUGAGGGGAUGAGCAGGGGAGCUGGAGGUGAGGAGAUGAGCACAGAGGAGAGCUGGAGGUAAGGGGGAUGAGCACAGGGAGCUGGAGGUGAGGAGAUGAGCAGGGGAGCUGGAGGUGAGGGGAUGAGCAGGGGAGCUGGAGGUGAGGAGAUGAGC